GGAUCGCCCUUCCUACGGGAGGCAGCAGUGAGGAAUAUUGGACAAUGGGCGCAAGCCUGAUCCAGCCAUGCCGCGUGCAGGAUGACGGUCCUAUGGAUUGUAAACUGCUUUUGUACAGGAAGAAACCCUUUCACGUGUGGAAGAUUGACGGUACUGUAAGAAUAAGGAUCGGCUAACUCCGUGCCAGCAGCCGCGGUAAUAAGGGCGAUCCC
rnacentral:rRNA from 1 species